GAUUGAACGCUGGCGGCAGGCUUAACACAUGCAAGUCGAACGGUAGCAGGUAAGUACUUGUACUUAUGCUGACGAGUGGCGGACGGGUGAGUAAUGCUUGGGGAUCUGGCUUAUGGAGGGGGAUAACGACGGGAAACUGUCGCUAAUACCGCGUAGAAUCGAGAGAUGAAAGUGUGGGACCUUCGGGCCACAUGCCAUAGGAUGAACCCAAGUGGGAUUAGGUAGUUGGUAGGGUAAUGGCCUACCAAGCCGACGAUCCCUAGCUGGUCUGAGAGGAUGACCAGCCACACCGGGACUGAGACACGGCCCGGACUCCUACGGGAGGCAGCAGUGGGGAAUAUUGCGCAAUGGGGGCAACCCUGACGCAGCCAUGCCGCGUGAAUGAAGAAGGCCUUCGGGUUGUAAAGUUCUUUCGGUGACGAGGAAGGUUGUUGUGUUAAUAGCGCAACAAAUUGACGUUAAUCACAGAAGAAGCACCGGCUAACUCCGUGCCAGCAGCCGCGGUAAUACGGAGGGUGCGAGCGUUAAUCGGAAUAACUGGGCGUAAAGGGCACGCAGGCGGACUUUUAAGUGAGGUGUGAAAUCCCCGGGCUUAACCUGGGAAUUGCAUUUCAGACUGGGGGUCUAGAGUACUUUAGGGAGGGGUAGAAUUCCACGUGUAGCGGUGAAAUGCGUAGAGAUGUGGAGGAAUACCGAAGGCGAAGGCAGCCCCUUGGGAAUGUACUGACGCUCAUGUGCGAAAGCGUGGGGGAGCAAACAGGAUUAGAUACCCUGGUAGUCCACGCUGUAAACGCUGUCGAUUUGGGGAUUGGGCUUUGAGCUUGGUGCCCGUAGCUAACGUGAUAAAUCGACCGCCUGGGGAGUACGGCCGCA
rnacentral:rRNA from 1 species